CCUACGGGAGGCAGCAGUGGGGAAUAUUGCACAAUGGGCGAAAGCCUGAUGCAGCAACGCCGCGUGAGCGAUGAAGGCCUUCGGGUCGUAAAGCUCUGUCCUGAAGGAAGAUAAUGACGGUAUUUGACGAGUAAGCCCCGGCUAACUACGUGCCAGCAGCCGCGGUAAUACGUAGGGGGCUAGCGUUAUCCGGAAUUACUGGGCGAAAAGGGUGCGGAGGUGGUUUCUUAAGUCAGAGGUGAAAGGCUACGGCUAAAACGUAGUAAGCCUUUGAAAAUUGGGAACUUGAGUGCAGGAGAGGAGAGUGGAAUUCCUAGUGUAGCGGUGAAAUGCGUAGAGAUCAGGAGGAACACCAGUUGCGAAGGCGGCUCUCUGGAAUGUAACUGACACUGAGGCACGAAAGCGUGGGGAGCAAACAGGAUUAGAUACCCCUGUAGUC
rnacentral:rRNA from 1 species